UCCAAUUUCUCCCAGCAGUCGCAUCCUGCCUGCAGCUCCAUUGCUACCGUUAGCUGGGGCUAAUAAGGGAGUAGCAAGUCAUUUUUUACACAGGGAAUUUCCUUUUUAUGUACCUAGAUUAUGUCAUUUAACUAAGCAGUUUGUUUGGGAAAAUGAAUUUGACUUUUUUCCGCGGCACGGCGUCUUCUGGAAGAAAAAAUUAUCCCUGUAAAGUCAGUGUUUUUUCGCGGCAACCUCGGUAGCCGACCGGGUUUAGCAAGUCAAUUUUGGUAACAGAUUCAUCUGUCCGCCUCUGCUGCUGCUCUGUCGGGGGAUAUUUGGACAAAAUCAGUCAGAUGUUGGACGGUGAAAACAGCAUCGGAACUCUAACAUUUUUACGCCGGGUUGCGAAGUUGAAUUACCAAGGUGAACAUCUUUCGAGAAAGAGCCAGCAAUAAUUAUAAUAAGAGGAGGAGAGCGAGAGUUUGGAUCUCGCACCGAAGGAAAAGAACCCGGAGAGAAGAAGGGACGCUAGGGGAAGAAAAUCCUGAUGCCCAGUGAUGGCAAACGAGCCGAUUAUCCUAAAUGUCUAUGAUAUGUACUGGAUCAAUGAGUUCACCAGCUCUCUGGGCAUCGGAGUCUUUCACUCAGGGAUUGAGAUCUAUGGAAGAGAGUUUGCUUAUGGCGGACACCCGUACCCAUUCUCAGGGAUCUUUGAGAUUACACCAGGUGAUGCAACUGAGCUUGGCGAGACCUUUAAGUUCAAGUAAG